rnacentral:rRNA from 1 species
AUGGCAAAGUUUGUAGAAUUGAGCCAACAAAUGGGAACCCAACAGAUGCCUACGAAGAGGGUUGACAAAGAAAAUAGUAAUCCAAACUUGCAAAAUAUUCUUCUACAGAGAUCUAGUCCUAAUAAGACUCCAGGUUCAAGGCCAGCUGCUAUUUCUUCAAAUGCGCUCAUACAAGCUGCAACAAGGCAUUCUCGAAUGUUUAAAGCAAUGUCACAACUUAAAUGA